CCCAACUAAGUAUACACACCCUCUCGCAAGGACGACAGGACACUGUGUCGCUCUGUGACCCUCUUGGAGACGGAAAUCUUGGCGAAGCUCAAAGAAUUCUCAGUCACUUAUCAUUAUUUAAAUCAUAUCACACGGAUGUUUGAUUGUGCAAAUCGGAUGCACUUUUGAUACUAUUAAAUCUUUUAAAUUACGUACCAUAUUGGGACUUUUGAAUAAAUGAACAAAAUAAUAUUAGUGAUUUUUCAAAGAUUUUUCCUUGUACUUAAAUCUAGUUUUCCAUAAUUAAUAUUUUAUUAGUGGCAUAAAAAUGGUGAAAAGAUGUGUGUGUGUGGUGUGUUUGUUCGUAACGAAUAUCAGUGAAUAUGGUGAAAAGAUGUAGAGUUCUGUAUAAAAAUAUGUUGGAAUUGCGGACGUAGGUAGUAUUGCAAUAAGUGUGCGCGAUGGGUGUGCGCAACGCGGUGAAGCCGCCGUCACACACGGCCUACUUCGUGGCGAUGGCCGGCAUCCUGGGCCUGCUGCUGCUGCUGUGCUGCUACUUCCUCUACUUCUGCAUCAAGCGGGUCAAAGAGCUAUCUCGGCAAGGUCUGCCCGAGCCGGUGCAGUCGGUGCGGCCGCCGCCGCCCGAGACAGUGCCCUAUCCUGU